UGCCUCGUGGUGUAAUGGUAGCACCGCAGAUUCUGAUUCUGCUUGUUGGGGUUCGAGUCCCUGCGAGGCAACCA
rnacentral:tRNA from 2 species